rnacentral:tRNA from 1 species
GGGAAUGUGGCUUAGUGGUAGAGUACUUGCCUACCAAGCACGAAGCCCUGGGCUCGAUUCCUCAGUACCA